GGUAAUGAGGCUUUGUAAACAUGUUUCCACCUACUGAAAAGGAAUUUAAGUGUGGUUGUAGCGCCUCUAAGAUGAGGGUGACACUGCUGUUGUAAAGAUAGAGUGGUCAUCACCAGUGUGUUGGUUGUAGCAGCAUUUGGUUGCAAGCAAAUCAAAAGAUACUAUGUAUUGAACAUAAUCAUGUGUCUAAUUACAAAUAUUCUAUAAAUUAAGACUUUCAGUUCCAGUGAUAGCUUUUUUUCCUAAAUGAAACCCUUGAGAUAAAAAAUAAUUAUCCUGAUGUAGAAAAUGUACCAUGCUGUUCAACACACUAUUGAAAACUUUCCUCACCCUUUCAGUAAGAUGUAAUCUACAGAACAUACCAUAAUAUUCCUUUUCUCCAUUUUAUCACUGACAGGUGGAUAAUAGAAAUGUUCUGGACAGUCAGAGUGCUGCUGGAGAUGACAUAUGAGAAGGAUCCUGAUUCUCAUCUCGGUAAACUGACAUUUCUUCAUGGCAAUGAAUUCCUUCAUUGCUGUCUUCCAUGUUCUGAAUCUGCCAGCAGCAGUGAUGGAGGGAUGCUGGAUGAAGUGAUUCCACUGGAGAAGGGCUCUGUGCUUUGCACAAGCUCAGGUGUGUUAUAGCUCUGAUUCCAGAGCACUGAGGAGUUCUUAUCAAGCUGUUACGAAGAAUCUGAAUUUAUUUCAUUCUUUUCCUGGAACAUACACCGAGGGCAUUGAGGUUCCUAAAACAAAGCAGACAGUGCUGCUGGUAGCAAAAUAAUGUGAUUUCACAUCCUAGGUAAACCUUGUGGCAAAUCCCUGUGAUUUAUGGAAAUAUUAUUGGUAUGUGUACCAAGGCCCCAAGACAGCAUCCAUGGGGCUGUCAGGUCUCCACACACACACAGAGUUCUGGCUGUGAUGGCUCUGCUGUGUGUUUGGUAGGAGAGAUUUAAUGGCUGAGUGUCUGUGGUGUUAAUGACUGAAUAAUUCCUGCUCCAGAGCUUUGCUUUAUUUUAUGUUGUUUUAUGACUUUCCAGUUGAAUAGCUCCAGUACCAGUGGGGUGCAAUAUAUCAAGCACAUCAGGAAUCUCCUACAUUAUUGCUUCAGACCCACAGAAGCUGUAACUUCCCAUGUUUAUUGAACUUUCCAGUUGAGACCUUGCUGGUGAAAGGAUUUGACUGUCAAGAAGCUGCUUGAUGUAAGAGCUCUUGUGAAGAGCUCAAUAUGCUACAGAAGACACACACUUU
rnacentral:lncRNA from 13 species